AGACGGGCCUCGUUCACUGAGCUCUAACUACCUUACUGGAAGUGGAAAAGUUCUACCUCCUCUCUAAUGAAACACAGAGGUACUGUUUCACCGAGGGAGGUGGAGAAAAGACGGCGAGGCGCGGACACACACACAAACACACUCUGAAGCAACAGUCACUCCCAGGCAGGACUGCCGGAGAGAAACCAGCCUUUGUGGUAAACAGCAGCAAAACUUCGGCGAGUGUGAAAAUCGAAAAGAAGAAACGGAGACGCCCUGAGGACCGCCGCUCAGCAGCGUCUGAGCCCUCGUCCUCCUCCCCUGGAUGACGUUCUGCUCGGCCCCACAACAAACCAACGACGCCCAGCGGGAAGCCACUCCGGGGGAGAAACGCCGAGUUCACCGCCGUCCCCUCUUCAUCAACUGCUUUUGUAGAUUCUGACAGUGAGUCUGGGCUUGGCUGAGGUUGAGAAAACAACAAAACCUCUCGCAGGUUGUCUCAAACAAGCAGCCGGAGUUACAUCCUGAUGACCGCACGCACACGUGGACGUGCAGGCAAAUAAAGAGAACACUGAGCUGGGACUGCUCCCACUGCCACGCCACCAUGGACGCCAAAGAGGAGACGCUAAAUAUGCUGAGCAAGAUAUGGAUCAAGCUGCAGGGUCUCCCAAACGCUCACCCCAUCGAGCUGGGAGCGUUCUUCAUCCUCCUAUCUUUCAUCUUGGUCGUCACUCUGAUGUCGGUGCUGACCUGCGCCAGCAGCUGCUGCUGCUGCUGCUGCUGCUGCCGCCGUGGCAGGACCAAGCUAAAAGAGAUGAGCAUCUGAGGAGAUCUGUGCAGUACAGACACGAGCAAAGGGGAAACCUUAGCACAGAUGAGCGUGUCAGAAAGAGUAAAGCCUCUUUCUGCAACUGUUUAACACAAACUGCAGAUUUAAAGUCAAGGGUGAUAAGUGUCGUACGCGGAGCGUUCUGAUGCAAAAAGAUCUGUGGGACAACGAGGCAGCUGACAAACACAGAGGGCGAUGUCUUGAAAGGCUGCCAAACACACCUGUGAACUCUGCCAGGUAUUCAGGAGAGUCCACAUUCCUUGGAGCGUCCAUGUGCGCCGCAGAAUAACGAAAACAACCGUUCUGACCUGAGGGGGAGCCCCGGCCAGCUCCUGCCGUCUACAAUGCAUGAGUCAUUCUUGAAGAAUGAAAAGUGGUGGUCAGAUAAGAUGGCCCUGAGUGGAAAGUUGCAUUCUAAUCUCAAGUGUGAAAGUAGCAUAAGAGGGAGCAAGUGUGCCCUCUGCUGGACAGAAACUGAAGUAUUGGGUAUAUUGAUCAGCUGUAAUGGGCUAAGUCUGAUUAUGCACAUUUUCUCCCACAGCCCAAAAACCAUUUGUGUUUCAUUUUAAAUGUAAUUACAAAUUCCCCAAGUGUGAGUGUGUGCGGUUCACUCUCUGUUUCUAACUAACUGUGACCCUGAAUUGGAUAAAACAGAACAAAUGAGUGAGUUCCUGCUCACCAUUGAGCUUUUCCCCUUUAAUCAGCUAUCAGUUUAUCAGCUGUCCACUUGCUGCUGCAAUAGUGUAGAUUUCCCUAUUCUGGGACAAAUAAAGUAUUAUUUUAUCUUAUAUAGAUGAUCAUCCACAACAUUAUGACCACUGACGGGUGAUGUGAGUAACAUUAGGCGUAUUGACGCUGGAGGUCACACAUGGAUAUAAUAUGAGACAGGUAGAUGGUCAUACACUUCCAGCUGAUCAGUGUAGCCUCCAUAAUGGAAGGUGUGUAUACAGCCAAAACCUGCAUUUAGUUUUUCUGCAGUGGGUGAAGGGCUCACGUAACAACGUGUAAAUUUGUCGUACAUUCAUUGAUGAAUGAACAAAGGUUUGUUUUGCAUGUAAUGAAAUAUAAUAGCAUUCUUCUACAUGUGUGCAUUGAAUAUUCCACUCACCCUUCCUGCUCACAGAAUGACACCAUAGCUUCGAAGUCAGUGAUGGCUGUUUUGUCAGAUUCUUUUGCCGAGCCGCGUUUCUCCUGUGGAUACAUUUCAGAUUUUGUUUUGUUUUUUGUUGUUUUUUUUUUUUAAAUAAAGUAUUUUAUAUUGCUCUGAUACAUUGUGAGUGCUUCAUUUAUUAUCUGACCUGUUUACGGGACACCUCCUGUCGAAUGAGGAAAAGAAUUUGCUCUUUAUCCUUCGCCGAGUAGUAGGUACGACAGGAGGAGGGCAGGCCGUCUCUUCCUGCACGGCCAGACUCCUGGUAGUAGCUGGCCAGAGACUUUGCGAGGUUCCAGUGAGCUACAAAUCUGCAAAGCCAUAAACACUGCCUUAAAACCUUACAAAUAUUCAGAAGGUGAUCUCUGGAGUUUUGCUUUACCUGACAUUGGCCUUAUCCACUCCCAUCCCAAAGCUGAUGGUAGCAGCAAUAACCAGCACCUUCCCCUGCAUCCACUCAUUCUGGACUUCUGUGCGAUCGCUUGCUUUUAAACCUGCAGGAGCAGAAAUGUCAACCGAAUUUCUUUUACUCCCAUCGUUCGUCUACAUCCAAUAACUUUUUACCUGCAUGAUAAGGCUUGGAUAAAACUCCAAGCUUGGUGAGCUGGAAGGCCACCGUUUCACAGCCUUCUCUGGUCCGACAGUAUACGAUCCCACAUCCCUGUUCAUCACACAGUGUGAAAACAAAUUUAAGGCAAAAGUAACAAAUUGAAGAAACACUGAGUCCAAGUCACACACCUGUCCAGUUGACCCGCUGUCCAGUCCCAGUGAUUUCUUAACAAAGGCGUGGAGGUGGACAUAGGGGUUUGGCAGCAGCUCCCUGAAGAUCACGUCGUAGUGCAAGUUGCUGCGGAAGACAGGCGUCGCGAAGGACAGCGGCUGGCGCAGCCGCAGCGACUGAAGAAUGUCCUCUUGCACAUUCUUGGGUGCCGUUGCUGUCAAAGCUAAGCAGGGGACUCCUGGUAAGCGAGAACGCAGCUCUCCCAGUUUGAGAUAGUCCGGUCUGAAAUCGUGACCCCACUGAGAGACGCAGUGUGCCUCGUCCACCGCCAGAUAGGACAGCAGGCCACGGGAGGAAAGGUCUGUCAGGCACGGCUGGAAUGAUGGUGAGGCCACCAUCUCCGGAGUAAUGUAGAGAAGCUUCAGCUUGGGGCUGCUGCUCCCCAGGUCGGCCAGGAUCAGACGGCGCUCACCUGCUAGGAGCUUGGAGUUGAUGGAACAGGCGGGGAUGUUAAGACUCUUCAGGCGAUCCACUUGAUCCUGGAGAAAAACAGGAAAAGGGAUUAACAAAUACUGAUAGGGACACUGAAGAGCUGAGCCAGUGGGUAGAACUAACCACUUCCUUAAUCCAGUUGAUAACAGGUAAAACAUGAACAUAUGUCAAACAUUUCAUAAUAAAGUCACUCAGUAGAACUGCUUCAGCCAGAAAAAUAUGGUUAUUACAUGUUGAACAAGGUCAUUAUUGUUACUAAGA
ensembl:lncRNA